rnacentral:rRNA from 1 species
GAUGAACGCUGGCGGCGUGCCUAAUACAUGCAAGUCGAGCGAACAGACGAGGAGCUUGCUCCUCUGACGUUAGCGGCGGACGGGUGAGUAACACGUGGAUAACCUACCUAUAAGUCUGGGAUAACUUCGGGAAACCGGAGCUAAUACCGGAUAACAUGUUGAACCGCAUGGUUCAACAGUGAAAGACGGUUUUGCUGUCACUUAUAGAUGGAUCCGCGUCGCAUUAGCUAGUUGGUAAGGUAACGGCUUACCAAGGCAACGAUGCGUAGCCGACCUGAGAGGGGGAUCGGCCACACUGGAACUGAGACACGGUCCAGACUCCUACGGGAGGCAGCAGUAGGGAAUCUUCCGCAAUGGGCGAAAGCAUGACGGAGCAACGCCGCGUGAGUGAAGAAGGUCUUCGGAUCGUAAAACUCUGUUAUUAGGGAAGAACAAAUGUGUAAGUAACUAUGCACGUCUUGACGGUACCUAGUCAGAAAGCCACGGCUAACUACGUG